AACGAACGCUGGCGGCGCGUCUUAAACAUGCAAGUCGAACGAUCUGUAGCAAUACAGGGAGUGGCGGACGGGUGAGGAACACGUAGGAAUCUACCUUGAAGAGCGGGACAACUUUGGGAAACCGGGGCUAAUACCGCAUAGUACAGAGAUGUUAAAGGGCUAGCAAUAGUCGCUUCGAGAUGAGCCUGCGGUCUAUCAGCUUGUUGGUGAGGUAAUGGCUCACCAAGGCUACGACGGAUAGCCGGUCUGAGAGGAUGAUCGGCCACACUGGCACUGAGACACGGGCCAGACUCCUACGGGAGGCAGCAGUUAAGAAUCUUGCGCAAUGGGGGAAACCCUGACGCAGCGACGCCGCGUGAAGGAUGAAGGCUUUCGGGUUGUAAACUUCGGUAGACUGGGAAGAAGAAAUACGUUCGUUGAGGGCGUAUAGUGACGGUACCAGUCUGAAGCCCCGG
rnacentral:rRNA from 1 species